UAAACGACUCUCGGCAACGGAUAUCUCGGCUCUUGCAUCGAUGAAGAACGUAUCGAAAUGCGAUACUUGGUGUGAAUUGCAGAAUCCCGUGAACCAUCGAGUCUUUGAACGCAAGUUGCGCCUGAAGCCAUUAGGUUGAAGGCACGUCUGCCUGGGCGUCACGC
rnacentral:rRNA from 1 species